UGUGAAUAUAGGUCUGUGGAUCCGUCCAUGUGAAUAUAGGUCUGCGGAUGCAUCCAUGUCCAAAGAGGAAAGUAAAUCAUCCUAGAAUUUUCAUCAAACAAAGGGAAUUUAAUCCAGGAACUGGCUGCAAAGCUAUCGGAAGGGCUGGUGCUACAAACAGAGGAAGCUAAGAUGCCUAAACAUUCCAGCUGCCGGAAGCUCCUGCCACCUUAGGGCUGGGGGAGAAAAAAGGAAGUGGCGUUUCCCAGAGCCCCACCAUGACUGUGCCAUGGACUCGAUGGCUGCUAGAACUGAGCAGUCACUUAAUGCUUGGGCGGGGGCAGCUGCACUUGUUCCCACUGCUCAAACCCAGAGCAUCACCUCUCCUUGCCUGUCUUCCUCUCGCCCCCCAUCUUUGUCUCCCACAUUGACAGGCCCUGACACGAGGCAGCUGGCAUGGGUGCUGAAGUUGUGGUCUUCUGGUCUGCAGCCUCACUGGUAUAUAGACAGGUACAGAAUGAUGAUGCCAGAGCUGAGAAGACAUCAGGCACAGAAGGCUUGGCGUGACUCCCUGGCUGCAGCAAAGAUUCCAUCUGCAUUUCUCAGCAAGCCUCCUUCACUCCAGCAUCCUUUCUGGGAGAUGAUCAACCCAACCACCAGAGGGACCAUCUGUGAAUUCUACAGCUAUUCACUGAGUUCUUACCCUGCCCCAAGUACUGUUCUUGGCACUGGGAAACAACAGUGAAUAAACUGGAGUCCCUGUUUUCACAGUUAGAAUUCAGUUAGAAGAUGGCAAAUCACCAAUACAACACAUAAGAAAGAUGCACAGGUGUAAGUGACCAGGAGGGAAUAUGACAGGGAGAGGAGGCAGUGCCGGGCAAGAGGAAUGACUUCCCGUGGGAUGGCCGAGGAUGGGGGCCUUGAAGUCCAAAGUCUGCAGGGGCUGCAGGUGGGUGUACCAGUCUCAGGGGGAAGAGGCUUCCCGGCAGAGGGAGCAGCAAGGGUAGAGGCCCUGAGUUGGGAAUGUGUCUGGCGGCUUUGUUCCAUAGCAAGGAGGCCGAGGCAUGUGGGGACAGGAGUGGGAGGUCAGAGGAGGAACAGGGAGGAGGACAAGUGACCUCACAGGU
rnacentral:lncRNA from 13 species